CAGAUGGGGGGUUAAGAUUGGUGCCCUGUCCUAUCUCCUCCCCUCUCCCUUCCUGACUUCAAAGUCUCCAUAAAGCCGGUCACUGCUUCCCUGACCCCAGAGUGGCAGCUCUAUCAUCAGCUCUUGGCCGUUUUAAAACAGCAGACGCUGAGCCCUUGCUAGGCUGCUCGCACCCCACUUUCCAGCCAUCUCCCAGGCUGCUUUUCUUGGCCCAAGGAUCAUACCCAUAGAGACACAGAUGGAAGAGGGGGAAGCAGAGAAAAGGGCAGAGUCAGAAUGAGCUGGGGAAGAGACAGAUGUUAAGAAGCAGCGAUGGAGAAAUGGUGCUAGUGGUCCAGCCACCGGAGACAGUCACCUGGGACAUCUUUUCAAGCAGCGGCUGUGCCGGGCACGGUAAGACAGUCUCAGAGCAGCAUCUUCCUCCUGCCCACCCGACUGAGAACUGGAGUUUGUAUUGCAGGUGCCUCCUUCUAGGACUGGGCUGAAGCCUCAGGAGACCCAGCUGCUAACAUCUGGGGGCGGGAUCAUGUCUAACAAAGGCUGGUGGGCACCACCCGAGGGCGAGGACAGCGUGUCUGAGAAGCUCCUGAGAAAGACCAGGGAGUCUCCGCUGGUGCCUGUAGGCUUAGGGGGCUGCCUGGUGGUGGCAGCAUACAGGAUCUACCGGCUGAAGGCUCGCGGUUCCACCAAGAUGUCUAUACACCUGAUUCACACCCGAGUGGCAGCGCAGGCCUGUGCUGUGGGUGCGAUCAUGCUGGGUGAGUAGCUGGUGGGGUCACGGGAGAGUGGGGAAUAAAAAACAUUAGGCAAAAUCUGGCUGUGAGUCCUGAUAGUUAAGGGAGCAGAAGUUCAGUCCCUUUCCCCUCUACCAGGCUCCACACUGUGUUCCUGGUGAAGCCCUCGGCCCGAGAUGAGUUUACUGGGCUCCCUGUUUAUAUCUCCUGUGUUCCAGGGGAUGGCACCCAGUUGGUUUCAUGAGUGUGUCCUAGAGGUGAGAUAAGCCAUGCAGCAGAACUUAUGCUGAACUUUUCUGGAUCAAAAGGCAGACAGCUACUCACUAGCUAGGCGACAGUGAACGAAUCCCUUUCUCUGAGUCUGGGGCAAUGGUCACACUCCGGCUCGCCUCCCUCACACACCGCAGGGAGGCUGCUCAGAGAAUCUGUGAGAGGGCUUCGGGAACUGGCAGGCUGUUUCCCGGGCCAUGUGGCCAGGUGUUUGUAGCAGCUGUUGAGACCUGGGGCGGAAAGCUGAGCAGGGAAGCUGGACUCUCCAGGGAACGGGGCAUGUGUUGGCCCCUGGGAGCCUGCGGCUGUUACUCCUCUGGACACCUGGGAGAGCCCGAGGCCGGGCGGAGGUGCCAGGUCAUGGGCUGUCUUUCCUUGUCCCCGACACAGGCGCUGUGUAUACAAUGUACAGAGACUACUGCAAGAGAGCAGCGCAGGACGCCGGGGAGAAGUAGGAUUCCUCCCUGCAGGGCCCGGGGCAGCUGGAAGCUCUUCCAUCAAGCCCUGGUAUGCACCUAAUAAAGUGGUUUUGAGGCAAA